UAGUUCAUCCUGUGGUUGAUCCCGUGGAUAAAUAUGGACCUCUGUUACUUGAGGUAUUACAGAUGUGCCUUCUGUUUCUGAUAACACCAAGGCAUUUGCAGACAGGAGGCAGAAGUGUCCUGCCUUUCAGGGUGGUGGGAGCCACAUCUGCUUGGUAACGCUGGAUUUUUAGGUGGUGGUGGUGCUGAAAAUGGUGUUUCUUCUACCAAAACGCUGGUCUGCUGCUUCAGUUACAUUUUUUUAUCCCCGAGGUGACAUUGGCAGUGGAGACUGACCUCCACAAUAACUUCAGGUCUCUUCUGAAUAUGUCCUUCCCCAACCACCUCUGUGGUUUCUCAACAUCAAUAGUGAACAUGGAUAAAUGAACUCCAGAUGAGAGGUCUGCAUGCCAGCAGUGCAGCCUGUGUCUACGGUAUCUUUUUCAGAAGAAGGACCAGAAUGGAUGAUCCAAUGAUUAGGACCUGUAUCUGGCAGGAAAGGAGCCACAUGUUGACCAGCUACUGCACUCUAAUGCCACCUAGUUGGGGUCUGGUGGCCCUGGUACCCAAAAUACAUACUUUUACGGACUGGGAUGACUCUGGGACAGAGGUCUCCACACCUGAUGAUGGGCAUACUGCUGAGUGAGAAGAUGUGCAUGAGCUCUAGGACGAUAACUGGAAUGGAGACAAGUGUUACGAAUGGCUUUGGUGCUCGGCUCUAGUUCUUCCAGAAGAUGAAACGGGACGAGGCUUCAACCAAGUAUGGAGGACCCUCGCUU
rnacentral:lncRNA from 1 species